rnacentral:misc_RNA from 1 species
CUGCGGAAGGAUCAUUAAAGAGUAAGGGUGCUCAGCGCCCGACCUCCAACCCUUUGUUGUUAAAACUACCUUGUUGCUUUGGCGGGACCGCUCGGUCUCGAGCCGCUGGGGAUUCGUCCCAGGCGAGCGCCCGCCAGAGUUAAACCAAACUCUUGUUAAUUAAACCGGUCGUCUGAGUUAAAAUUUUGAAUAAAUCAAAACUUUCAACAACGGAUCUCUUGGUUCUCGCAUCGAUGAAGAACGCAGCGAAAUGCGAUAAGUAAUGUGAAUUGCAGAAUUCAGUGAAUCAUCGAAUCUUUGAACGCACAUUGCGCCCCUUGGUAUUCCGAGGGGCAUGCCUGUUCGAGCGUCAUUACACCACUCAAGCUAUGCUUGGUAUUGGGUGCCGUCCUUAGUUGGGCGCGCCUUAAAGACCUCGGCGAGGCCUCACCGGCUUUAGGCGUAGUAGAAUUUAUUCGAACGUCUGUCAAAGGAGAGGACUUCUGCCGACUGAAACCUUUUAUUUUCUAGGUGACCUCGG